rnacentral:ncRNA from 1 species
CCCCGGUGAACGGCGGCCGUAACUAUAACGGACCUAAGGUAGCGAAAUUCCUUGUCGGGUAAGUUCCGACCCGCACGAAAGGCGUAUCGAUCUGGGCACUGUCUCGGAGAGAGGCUCGGUGAAAUAGACAUGUCUGUGAAGAUGCGGACUACCUGCACCUGGACAGAAAGACCCUAUGAAGCUUUACUGUUCCCUGGGAUUGGCUUUGGGCCUUUCCUGCGCAGCUUAGGUGGAAG